rnacentral:rRNA from 1 species
UACGGGGGGGGGCAAGCGUUGUUCGGAAUACUGGGCGUAAAGCGUGCGCAGGCGGUGAUGUAAGACAGAUGUGAAAUCCCCGGGCUCAACCUGGGAACUGCAUUUGUGACUGCAUCGCUGGAGUGCGGCAGAGGGGGAUGGAAUUCCGCGUGUAGCAGUGAAAUGCGUAGAUAUGCGGAGGAACACCGAUGGCGAAGGCAAUCCCCUGGGCCUGCACUGACGCUCAUGCACGAAAGCGUGGGGAGCAAACAGG